AGAGUUUGAUCCUGGCUCAGGGUUAACGCUGGCGGCGCGCAUAACACAUGCAAGUCGAGCGAGGGCUUAUUUCUCGCAAGAGAGAUAAGUUCCUAGCGGCGAACGGGUGAGUAACACGUGGGCAACCUUUCCUAUCGCGGGGGAUAACAGCGGGAAACCGCUGCUAAUACCGCAUGUCGUCACUGGUCGCAUGGCUGGUGAAGAAAGCAGCAAUGCACGAUGGGGUGGGCCCGCGGCCUAUCAGCUAGUCGGUGGGGUAACGGCCUACCGAGGCGAUGACGGGUAGCUGGUCUGAGAGGACGGCCAGCCACACGGGGACUGAGACACGGCCCCGACUCCUACGGGAGGCAGCAGUGAGGAAUCUUCCGCAAUGGGCGAAAGCCUGACGGAGCGACGCCGCGUGUGCGAUGAAGUCCUUCGGGAUGUAAAGCACUGUCGGAGGGGAAGACAAAAAAGACGGUACCCUCCAAGAAAGCCCCGGCUAACUACGUGCCAGCAGCCGCGGUAAUACGUAGGGGGCAAGCGUUAUCCAGAUUUACUGGGCGUAAAGCGCGUGUAGGCGGCUGGUUAGGUGUGAUGUGAAAUCUUCGGGCUCAACCCGAAAAAUGCAUUGCAAACCGGCCUGGCUAGAGUGCAG
rnacentral:rRNA from 1 species